rnacentral:tRNA from 2 species
GGCUCAUUGACGCAAUUGGGAGACGUGGCAGUUUCAAACACUGCAUGUUCGGGGUUCGAGUCCCUGAUGAGCCACCA